rnacentral:rRNA from 1 species
GAUGAACGCUGGCGGCGUGCCUAAUACAUGCAAGUCGAGCGAACGGACGAGAAGCUUUCUUCUCUGAUGUUAGCGGCGGACGGGUGAGUAACACGUGGAUAACCUACCUAUAAGACUGGGAUAACUUCGGGAAACCGGAGCUAAUACCGGAUAAUAUUUUGAACCGCAUGGUUCAAGAGUGAAAGACGGUCUUGCUGUCACUUAUAGAUGGAUCCGCGCUGCAUUAGCUAGUUGGUAAGGUAACGGCUUACCAAGGCAACGAUGCAUAGCCGACCUGAGAGGGUGAUCGGCCACACUGGAACUGAGACACGGUCCAGACUCCUACGGGAGGCAGCAGUAGGGAAUCUUCCGCAAUGGGCGAAAGCCUGACGGAGCAACGCCGCGUGAGUGAUGAAGGUCUUCGGAUCGUAAAACUCUGUUAUUAGGGAAGAACAUAUGUGUAAGUAACUGUGCACGUCUUGACGGUACCUAAUCAGAAAGCCACGGCUAACUACGUG